rnacentral:rRNA from 1 species
CCUACGGGAGGCAGCAGUGAGGAAUAUUGGUCAAUGGGAGGAAUCCUGAACCAGCCAUGCCGCGUGCAGGACGACGGCUCUACGAGUUGUAAACUGCUUUUGCACCGGGGUAAAAUGCUCUACGUGUAGGGCUUUGAAAGUACGGUACGAAUAAGGAUCGGCUAACUCCGUGCCAGCAGCCGCGGUAAGACGGAGGUUCCGAGCGUUAUGCGGAUGCAUUGGGUUUAAAGGGAGCGUAGGUUGUUUUAUAAGUUAGCGGUGAAAUACCGAUGCUCAACAUCGGGGCUGCCGUUGAUACUGUAGGACUAGAGAUCGGGUGAAGCAGGCGGAAUGUGUAGUGUAGCGGUGAAAUGCAUAGAUAUU